CGUUUGUCCUGUCUCGCUAUGUAUUAUCUUAAUAUGUCUGUAUAUAUUGUCCUCUUGUACACAUGUAUGUGUCUGAGGUUAUGAAUAAAAUCUUGAAUCUUAAAAUUUCUGCAGGGGAUAAUGUUUAAUUUUGAUAAAAUGGUACACAAUAAUUUGACUAUACAUGUAGUAUUCAUAAUUAACAAAUAUUUUAAAAUUUGU
rnacentral:lncRNA from 1 species